GCUGCGCGGAGCGGACGGGACCGGACGGAACGGGACGGGCUGCGGCCGGCGAGCGGCAGCGCCGGGGCCAGCGCGCCUUCUCCGGUGUGGGUCAGCGGGGAGCAGCACCUCGCUUUACCUUCAAAAGCUGGUGCUAUCGGACGGGCCGUGGAUGGGUUAAUUGGGCGGCUUAAUGUAACCACGCCAGCAGUCAAAACAGAUCUUGUCAGGCAUGUGAUCUCAAUGUCUGUGAUCUUCCUCCUGGAAAGGUAUUUCUUGGCUCAGGUCUCUCUGGACUGGCACUGAAGUAUCCUUUGUCCUUUUAUGUGGUUUGUAAUGCUUGGGAAAUCGUGCUGGAGGCAAAGAAGAGGUUCUUUGGCUCAGACGGCCCUGCCAGGUUGACUGCCUGCUCCAGUCCCACAUCACAUCUGUGGUUAUGUUCUGAAGCCCAGGAGAUCGGAACUGAAUGUUCUUUUUGUCACGUCCCUCCCUACCUAUGUCAGCCUUCCAGCAGCAGGGAGUACAGAGCAGGGAGUACCAGUUACCUGCACUGACCAUAAAACUGUGAAAAACCAUUUCCAUGGCACAGCACACCAGCAGAGUGGAUGAAACAAUGGAGUCUGCCCAAUUAUUUUACCAGAAUGGAAGAAGAGGAUGAGCAUCCAGUCCUCUGGUUUAAGAGGAGACUAUAAAGGUACCAGAUAAGUGGAAAAGGCAAAAAGCAUCAGGCAGUAGUAGACCUUAGUUACUAGUUCAAAUGAAAAUACCACUACACAGACCAUAAGGGAUUCAGGUAAAUGAAGCAGUAGAAGCUUGAUUGUGAUGGCAGGUGUUUGGAAGAGCUAUUAAAUUACUGUAGCUGGUUCCACAUCAGUAAAGAAGUGAUUGGUUUUGAGAACUGCAAAAACGGUAUUGUAAAGCUAAUAAGCAUUAAUCAGAUGGCAAGAAAAAUGCAGGAUUGCAGGAAUAGGGAGGAAAAAAAUUGUGAAGGGAAACUUAUUAAUUAUGCCUGACAACUAGAGGGAUAGACCAGCCUCUCUUUAGCAGACAUGGAAUCAAAUUAGUAACCUUUUUCUUGACUUCUGUGCCUUAUGGGUUUAUGCACAUAGGAGGAAUCCUGCUAAAAAUAUGCUGUUUUCAGCAGAAAGUGAAGAGCUCCAUUUGAAUCAUCUUUGUAUGUAGCCAAAAAAUUACUUGAGAGCAUUUUGAGUAUUACUGUCUUUUGUCAAGGUCCAGAGAGGAGUUGGAGGGCAGACACCAGUUUCAUACUCCGCUCAUCCCUCCCUUGCAUGCAAAAUUGCACCAAGAAAAAUCAAAAUAUUGGCCUAUUCCAGCAGCAGUGCUUUAUGCUCUUUCCUACUUCACUAUGUCUAUCUUAUUUAAAUGUGGGGUAGUGAAAAUCCUGCUCAAUAAGAUGUGUCUCACAAAUGGAGAAAAACUACAUGAUGCAUAAAAGGACUUUCACAAAAAGAAUGUAAUUUCUUAUGCAAAUUCAUCGUCUUUUAAUAAAACAACCCUGGGGUUUUUAAACACCAACUGUUAUCUGUAAAUGUCACUGGAACCACAUUAUAGCUGAAGUGUGAGAGUAUGGAAUAAACACAUGAAUGUUCUUAUUGAAUGUAAUGUGA